AGAGGGUAAGGAUAAUGAUUCAAUUAGAUGUGUGAAAGGUUAAUUACUUUCUGAACUCAAACUUUUGAGGCAUAUCCAUUCAUAUAUCUGACUACACUUU